rnacentral:lncRNA from 1 species
AAUCUCUUGACCUCGAUCCCAUUAUUCUGUAGGUGCGAUGCUUGAGAGCUGAUAGACUCCCUCUCUAUCAGCAACUAUAAUUCGAUAGCCAAUCUGUAAGAUCAGUGAAUCCGAGAGAGAAAACGAGGUGUUCGCUAAAUCUCUACUCAGUCUGACGGCUAGGGUUUAUUCUCCUGGUAAAUGUUAUCAAUCUCUGCUGUACUUUUUUCUCUUUUGUGAAUUUCAAUUUACUUAUUGCAGUUUUAGCUUGACCAUGGAUCAUUACAAAAUAAGCUUGCACUUCUAGUUUGUUAGUUGUAGUAUUUGUUUAUUUGUUCACUUGUUAUGUAAUUUAAGUUUAUUUAGCUUUUUUUAAAUUUUUUGCAUUUCAGGUAGUGCAGACGCAGUAGUGUUACUUACAGGUUAUAUAAAGGGUAAUCAUAAAAAAAAACUUUUUUUUAAAAGAGUCUAGUGCAAAAAUAUUGAAAUGAUAUUAACAUGGCAGCAAUAGGUAGAUUUUACUUGGUAAGUAUUACUCCCUCUGUUUCACAAAAAGAGCCCCAUUUGCAUAUAUUUUUGUUUUAUAUAUACCUUUGAAUUUAUUGAGUUUUAGUUUUAUACAUAUGACGUAAUAAUGAAAUUGUGAUGAUAAGCUUGAGGACGUUGUGUCAUUUAUACUGCAAUUAGAAGAAAUGGAC